UGCUGAACUCACUGGUGUUGUGUGAGGUGAGAACAGGAAGAAUUAUUUUUUUGAAAGAAAGCAAAAUUAUGACAGGCUUUGCUUCCAUGAAUACUGAGAACAUCAUUAACUGUUUGUUUGAGAGGUGGAAUUGA
rnacentral:lncRNA from 1 species